rnacentral:siRNA from 1 species
GGCAAUGAAGUGUAUGAUUGGCGC